rnacentral:lncRNA from 1 species
GCGUUGCCUCCCUUUCUCUUAUCUCUCGCGGCUCUCGCAGCUCUUCCCACCGCCGAAUUUUCCUUUCUGGAAGAGGAAGCGUUCCGUAUCCCCGAGCGUCGUUAGCUCACUGAUGCACUAUCGCGACGCGCUCUUCGAUAGCCCGUCCGGAAACUCUGCGUGCAACGCGUGCACUCGGCAUAUGCAGGUGGCAUGGAACGAAUAGAAACGUAGCGACCGAUAUAUUUCCGGAUGAUGAUUUACAUCGGCGAAUUCCAGAAUAACUCAACGGUGUGUUUUAUUGGCGUUUUUUUUUUUGUUGUUUCUUCUUCUUUCCUCUCUUUUUUUGGAAAAUUGAUCGGCGCGUCUUCUCGCUCUUUAUCUCGCUCGCACGACGCUGAGCGGCUGCUUAUCGGCCUGCGAGCUGUGGUCCCGUGUGGUCCCGCUUUGAAUAUCGCAUACUGACACACGGUCGAUGGGGUGACCCGGCGGCUAAGCACUUACUCGAUUAGAUUCAAUUCGUUUUAAUUGCGUUUAAGUUCGUUGAAUACUUCCUUUAUCUUCGCGCACGGCUCGCGGCGGCGUCGGCGUCGGGCGUCGGCGUCGGCGUCAGGAACAGCGACUGUCGGUGGAAGAUUGAUACAGGUUCGACCGGCAACGGGAGGCACUGGCUCGCUAGGAACGUGACCUCAUUUCGUGAAUCACCAAUUUUAUAAUAAUAGCUGCCUUUGAGCUUUUCCCGCCACUUUAUUCACCCUCCCUCGCGGAAAGAUCGACGGGCCGACGCGAGGGGGGAGGAGGCGUUGUUUUACUGGCGGUUUGCGUGAUCAAAUCGUACUGACGCCAAUUAAUAGAUAUAACGUCAAUUUGUAAUACGUAUUACGAUUAUUACAUAGGUCGAAGGUUCACCGCGCGCGAAGGAAAAUAAAGCGAGAAACUCUCGCCUUGCGAUGCGCGCACAAGAUAAUGACCGAAUUAUUUAUCGUCCGUCACGACGAUGUCCUUUUUCAUUCGCGAUUACAACCGAUUUAAUUAAUCGUACUGAUUUAAUUGCGAUAAGUCCGCCAGGGAUGACGGAACACACACACACACACAGAGCUUUCGUGACUCGAGCGAUUAUUACGACCGGAGGACGGUAGUUUUCAGAGAAAAAUAAUCGAUUUCUUCUAGGAAACAAAGAGUUCCUCGCCAAGUUUCUUCAAGUUCACCGGUAUUAUUUUCAGCUUCGAUUUACGAUCGACCCCGUUCGAGAUGCGCUCGAGGUGCGACAUUCGUUCGGUGCGUACACGUGGGCGUGCGCGUGAGUGCGUUACAAUAUUUGCACGCUUUAUUUUUUUUUUUCCUUCGUUUUCUCCUCUUAAUCGGCGCGCGUGUAACGUUAUAUAAAUACGAGAUUAUUUCGGUACGGGGAUCCGUGUGUUUGGCGGCACGCCAAGCGUCAGGGAUCGGACUGACUGCACUAAUAACGCGGCCGCGAUACGCACGACGCCGGCUGUUGCAUAACAGGUAGCUGAAGCGGAGGGCGGUACGUGUGGUAGGUACAACUAUUACACGACGACGACGACGACGACGACGACGACGACGACGAUGACGACGACGAUGACGACGACGGCGACGUCGGUCGGCUGGUAUAAUCGCGCGGCUCGUUAUUAUGUAAAUUGCAUUAACGAUAGCAGCACUCCCGGUAAUUUCUAUACUAUAAAGGUAAAAUUGCAUCCACCGGAGAAUUAGAUCCCCAGAGUGCUCCACGUCCACACGCGCUUUUCUACUUUUGAUACUGCAGUCACGAGCGAUUCAGUGCAGCAUUCACGCGCAGGACAUUUUGACACGUGCAAGUGUGUACACUCACGCAGAGACGCACGAGAAUGUCUGAGAAUGUAUAAUAAUUAUCUUGAACAUAAAUUCUGUGGCGAUAAAAGCGAGAGCAGGGAAUAGAAUUCUUCAUGUUAAUUGUUGAAAUUUAGAAAUCGCCUAUAUUUAGAAUUACAAAACUUAAAAUAACGUCGAAAAGUAAAUAAAAGCACGAGCAAUUUCUCCGUCGUUUGUUAAAUGAAGCUGUGGUAACGAAAGAAUGUCAUGUAUUUAUUAUGUACGGUAUAAUGAUAAUGAUCACAUCAGCGAUACACAUGUUAUUUUUUACAGCUAUAAGAUUACAUAGAACGUAACACAACUGAAACCAAUGAGCCUUGAUGGCGAUCGUAAGGUAUUUCACGGAAAGAUUGUGUAAUAUCAACUGUAUCAUAGAUAUUUUAAUUAUAUAAAAAAUUCAAGAUCUGUAUUUAAAUACUUUGCCUAGAAAAAGAAUCUUAAGAAUGUAAUGGAUAUAGAUUUGUUAUAAGCCUUCGCGACGUAUUAUAAUGAUAUCAAAUCAAUUGGCUGAAUUAUGAUCAGUUAUAUGUCUAUGAGGUUCUGUAAAGUUUAAACUAAAGUAAUAAAAUAUAAAAAAUAUUAUCAAUUUAAAUACGAUUAUUACAAUAUUAUUCAUUUUAUGAAAGAAAUAUAUAAUUAAAACUCACGGUAUAAUAAUUUGGAUAGAAUAUAACUUGAUUACGCUUGCAUAUAUAACUUAGUCGAACUGCUACUACAUUAAAAAUAAAAGAUAUAUGCAGGGGAGGGAGGGGGGAGGAUGAUGGGAAGCGAACACGAAAAUAAUAAAUGUGUGACAGAAAUAGCGGGCAAGGGAUAAUUGUGUCUAUGCGUGUCUCUGUAUGCAGAUCUGAUGUAUGAAAGUUCGAUCAGGACAAAAUGUAUUUUGUGAACGAACGGAGCCGAGAUGCGGAUAUACGAACAUUGCCAACGAAAUAAUUACGAUGAUGAUAACGAUGACGAUCGAUACUUUACUUCCGACUACGUCGUGGCAUACGCUACUAUACGUCACGAUGCUCUAAUCGUUAAAAAUAGCGAAGCAGCUAUUCCCACAUAGAAAAUGUUUUGGUAUUUGAGACCCAAUACGAUUUCCCCAAAAAUCAUGAACUCUGCUUGGCAAACAUAUAAAGAUUCAGAUCAGAGGCAUAAUAUUCUUUUACACACUCGAUUAUAAAAAAUAAUAUAGAAAAAAAGAGGAAACAAGAGGUAAGAAAAAAAGAUGGGAGAGAAAGAGAGGAAAAUAUGGGAUAGAGAAGUAAGAGGAAAGAGGAGAGAUUGACAGAAAA